AGUCCGGUUCGGAUCCAGUUCGGUUCAGUUUAGAUCGGAUUCACUUUGGUUUAAAUUGAAUUCUGUUCGGUUCGGUUCAGACAGGAUCCGGUUCGGUUUAGUUCAGAUCGGAUUCACUUUAGUUUAAGUUAAAUCCUGUUCGGUUCGAUUCAGACAGGAUCCAGUUCGAUUCGGAUCCAGUUUGGUUCAGUUCAGAUCGGAUUCACUUUGGUUUAAGUUCAAUCCUGUUCGGUUCGGUUCAGGCAGGAUCCGGUUUGGUUCGGAUCCGAUUCAGUUCAGUUCAGAUCAGAGUCACUUUGGUUUAUGUUGAAUCCUGUUCGGUUCGGUUCGGUUC
rnacentral:lncRNA from 1 species